GGAACAUGUCAGCGUUUGGACUCUCACUGCAGAGGGAGCUCAGAAUAUUACAGACCAGGGUGAAACUAUCUAAAUUCCCAGAACAUUAUAUUUCAUUUCACAUAUGGGAAAACUGAUACUCAGGAAUCUGAGAUUGAUCACCCAAAGGCUCACAGCUUAUCCACUGACAGAACUGCAACCAGCAUAUGCCUCCAUGGUAAGAGUGACCUCAUGUUGCAGUUUGUCCAGGAUGGUCCCAGUUGACACCUGUUGCCACCAUGUGAUGAUUAACAGCUCCUCCUUGCCCUUUCAAUACAGUUCUGAUUUGGACAACAAGUCAUAUGAUUGCCUUACUCACUGGCUAAUAUUCAUAAAAGUUAGUUUGAAAGUUGUCAGUGAAGAUGAUUUCAGUUGUAAAUAGAGAAAAUCCAACUCAAACUGGUUUAUAUAGCAAAAGGGAUUUAUUAGCUCCUGAGUAAGGUGGGAACACCAAAGACUUCGUUUAUUUUGACCUGUCUGAUCCACAUGUCACAUUCCUCAAAGGCUGACUCCUCUUCAUGGGACAAAGUGAUUAGUUGAAACCUGCUUCCUCAUCCCUCCCGCUGUGCUACAUGCUUCCUCACUCCUAUCCCAGAAGAGAGGAAAGAACAUCUUGAAAAUCCUUCAGAAGAGCAAAGAGCCAUAUUUCUCAGAGGCUCCCAGCAAACGAAUCUUCAUGCUUCUAGACCCAAAUUUGCUUGCAUGCCCAUCCUUUCACCAAAAUCUGGGGCCGAGAAUAGGGCCACACUAGUCUGAAUCGGAUGUCCUGCCAAGGGCCAGGGGUGGAGCCAGCCUCAAAUGAAGUGCUUGGGCUGGGUAGGGUUGGCAUUAAUACCCAAUGAAAGUUGGGGUAAUCACCAAGAGAAGAAGAAAUGGAUGCCGGGGAGUCACCUUCUCGUCCAUUCACUGCGGAGACUGUUGCUUUCAAAAGUUUCUUUCAGAGAAGACACUUUGGUCUCUACGAAUGCCAAACCUCAAACAUUAUAAGUAAGACAUUCAUUUUGUCCUAAUGUCUUGGGAGAAGCUCAUUCUAGUUCUCGUUGAAGGUAAGCACUUUCCUUGCCUAUCCUUCCUUUCAAUGGAGAGGGUCAAAGGAGUUUAAGGAUGUAAAUCCUUCCAUAAUAUUGAAAACCCCAUUCAGCUAAGGGUAACAUUAUAUGCACUGCUAGAGGGCCAACAUUUCAUGGACCUUACAUCAAGCAAGCCUCCCUGUUCCCUCCACUAUACUCCUCCUGCCAAGCCUCAGGUGGAAUGUUUUGUUUCCAACUUUUUAUUUUGAAACAAAUUUAGAUUUUCAGAUGAGGUGCAGAGUUCCCGUAUACUGUCACCCAGCUUCUUAAGUUGUUGACAUCUUACAUAACCACAGACCGUUUAUCAAAACCAAGAAAUUAACAUUGGCACAGUAAAAUUAACUAUACUAUAGACUUUAUUCAGAUGUCACCAGUUUUCCCACUAAUAUCCUUUUUCUGCUCCAGGAUACCAUGUUGCACUUAGUUGUCAUAUCUCCUUAGUCUCCUCUGAUUCUUUAGCAGCUUCUCAGUCACUCCUUGUUUUCCAUGACCUUGACAAUUUUGUGUACACUGGUCAGGUAUUUCUUACACUGCUCCCUGAUUUAAGUUACCUGAUGUUUUCUUGUGAUUAGAAAAAGGUUAUAGAUCUUGUGGAAGAAUAUCCCAGAAGAGAAGUGCCUUUCUCAUUGCGUCAUAUCAGGGAGUCCAUGAUGUCAAUAUGUAUUGCCGGUGAGGUUAACUUUGAUCACUUGGUUAAGGUAGGGUCUGCCAGCUUUCUCCUGUUACUAAAGUUACUCCAGUUCCAUUUCCAUAUUCGGUCUGUUAGAUGAAUCACUACAUCCGCCCCACACUUCAGACAUUUGAGCACUUCCUUACUUUCUAGCACUACAAGAUGCUCCAGACUCAUCUUGAAUUUUCCCUGCCCCAGUCCUAGAAUCAGCUCUUUCUCUAAGGAUUCCUGCUUCAUUUGAUUGGAGAAUGUUACAUAGAAAUAGAAAGAGAGAAACCACUAUGUGGUGUUUACAAUGCUAUGUGCUGAGGAUGGCACAGUUUGUUUCUUCCAACAAGAAAGUCAGGGCCUGCCCUCAAGCAGCUUCAUUCAGUUGUGAUGAGCAUUAUAGAUGGGAAGUGCAUAGAGCUAUAGGGCACACAGCUAGUGGAGCUAACCAUUUGGGUGUCAGAAAAACUUCCAAGGGUAACCGGCACUAAUGCUGAGGCUUGAAGGAAGAGCAGGAACUAGUGAAGAGAGAAAACGAAGAUCUGGGUGCUAGAUGUGCUAUGUCUUGUGAUCAGCUUAAACUUCAAAGAACUCAUCUAUUUUCACAGUUUUGUGAUUAAUUCCCUAAUCCCUUUACUGCUAAUCUUUCCACUGAACAGGGUUCUACUCUGACUCUCCCCAAUAUCUCUUCAUUCAUUCAUUCCUUCAUUCAAUAUUUAUUGAAAAGCAAGAAAAGAAAUGCAUUCCAAAUUUAAGAAGAGCCUGUGGGAAGGCCAGGAUGAAAAAGGGCAUGGUGUGUCCUCAAGGAACUGAAGGAAAUGCGUUACACCAAAAGAGAAGAGAGCAGGAGAAAGAAUGGCAAGAAAUGAGACUGGAGACAUGGGAAUGCACCAGGUCCCAUACAUCCUUAAAGGUCAGUUGAGGGAUUUGGACAUUAUUCCAAGGACAAUGGAGAACCAUGGAAGGCUGAUGAAAGCUAUGGCUGCCUGUCCUCAACGCAUUGGAGUUGGUGGCUUCAUGUGUGACAGAUGUCGUGCACCAAUACGACCACCCAGGAAGGACAAAUCACUGCAAUGAACAUCCUUCUACAUACAUUUAUUUUCAAACUUAGCACCCGAUGAUGAUGAUGAUGAUGAUGAUGAUUCUUAUUCCAUGUGAGAUAUUGUAUCUUCACUUACUGAUAAGGAAAUCUACAUGUAAAAAGGUCAAGCAACUUUUCUAAAAACACAUCAGUGGUGCAGCUGGGAAUUGAACCCAGGUCUUUGUUCUAAGCCUAGGUUCUUACUGUUAAUUAAACUUUCUAA
rnacentral:lncRNA from 1 species